CAAUAGCAUAUAUGAAUGUUGUUGCAGUUAAAACGCUCGUAGUCGAUAACGGCAGCCACUCUAGAUAUUUUCUAGUGAUUGGCGGGACCAAGAUCACGUUGUUAUGACGUGUUUAGAAGACUGUUUCAGUCUUGGUUGACGGGGGAAGUAUUGCAAAGCUUCACCGCAUUACCUUGAACAAAACAGAGUUCUCAAAGCAGUGCUUUGGCACAGUGAAUGAUCAAGCAUGGGAUAAUACAUACCACUAUAUGUGUUGGUACUAUUCACCAAUUCUACAAGUGAUUAAUAGGAACAGUUGAGGGUUCUAGUACUGAAUGGCGAGAGGUGAAAUUCUUAGACCCAUUCAAGACUACCUAAGGCGAAAGCAUUUACCAAGGAUGUUUUCUUUGA
rnacentral:rRNA from 1 species